rnacentral:rRNA from 1 species
GAACGAAAGAGUUUGAUCCUGGCUCAGAUUGAACGCUGGCGGCAUGCUUUACACAUGCAAGUCGAACGGUAGCAGGGACUUCGGUCUGCUGACGAGUGGCGAACGGGUGAGUAAUGCAUCGGAACGUACCGAGUAAUGGGGGAUAACGCAUCGAAAGGUGUGCUAAUACCGCAUACGCCCUGAGGGGGAAAGCGGGGGAUCGAAAGACCUCGCGUUAUUCGAGCGGCCGAUGCCGGAUUAGCUAGUUGGUGGGGUAAAGGCUCACCAAGGCGACGAUCCGUAGCAGGUCUGAGAGGAUGAUCUGCCACACUGGGACUGAGACACGGCCCAGACUCCUACGGGAGGCAGCAGUGGGGAAUUUUGGACAAUGGGGGCAACCCUGAUCCAGCCAUGCCGCGUGUCUGAAGAAGGCCUUCGGGUUGUAAAGGACUUUUGUCAGGGAGGAAAUCCUUAAGGCUAAUACCCUUGGGGGAUGACAGUACCUGAAGAAUAAGCACCGGCUAACUACGUGCCAGCAGCCGCGGUAAUACGUAGGGUGCAAGCGUUAAUCGGAAUUACUGGGCGUAAAGCGUGCGCAGGCGGUUUGAAAAGUCAGCUGUGAAAGCC